rnacentral:tRNA from 1 species
ACUGUGAUGGCCGAGUGGUUAAGGCGUUGUACUUAAAAUCCAAUGGGAUCUUCCCGCGCAGGUUCGAACCCUGCUCGCAGCG